AAAAGAUCUCAACUUUGACUGGACUCGAUCUAUUUCUACUUUUAAAUCUGCUUCAGAAGAAUGAAGUAUCACCAUGUCUCUGAAAUAUAACGUGCUUGAUAUAUUUAGUACGAUAAAAAGAAAACUUCAAAAGCAAUAAGGAUGAGUGAAGAGACAAAGUGUCAGAUGUGCUUACAUCAGAGACCAUUGACGAAAGUGAUGGAGAUGGUGACGGGUUUCUCUUGUGGAAAGCCAUUUUCUGUUUUGAAACAAGCAAAACUCACUUAAUGUCCGACUAAUAGAAAAAUAAUUAAUGAAAGUUA